rnacentral:rRNA from 1 species
AUUGAACGCUGGCGGCGUGCUUAACACAUGCAAGUCGAUCGGUAACGCGGGGGCAACCCUGGCGACGAGAGGCGGACGGGUGAGGAACGCUUGGGAAUCUGCCCUUCAGCGGGGGACAACACGGGGAAACUCGCGCUAAUACCGCAUACGCUCCACGGAGGAAAGCCGGGGACCGCAAGGCCUGGCACUGAAGGAUGAGCCCAAGUCGGAUUAGCUAGUUGGCGGGGUAACGGCCCACCAAGGCGACGAUCCGUAGCUGGUCUGAGAGGACGAUCAGCCACACUGGGACUGAGACACGGCCCCGACUCCUACGGGAGGCAGCAGUGGGGAAUAUUGGACAAUGGGGGAAACCCUGAUCCAGCGACGCCGCGUGGGUGAAGAAGGCCUGCGGGUUGUAAAGCCCUUUCGGUAGGGACGAAAGCUCUCGACCUAACACGUCGGGAGGUUGACUUAACCUACAAAAGAAGCACCGGCUAACUCUGUGCCAGCAGCCGCCGUAACAC